UCCAAAAGCAAUACUUUCAGCUCCUCCUGUUGUUGAGCCGAAAGCCUGGCACUAAUAUAAGUCGAUCGCUUGUCUUCAUCAGAUCCUAAGUUUACCUCAAUUAGUGGAUCCUAAGUUUCCAAUUUCUUCUCACCGACUUUGAUAGAUGACUCUUCUAAGUUCAAUUCAGUUGUUCGCCUCCUUAAUUCAUCUGAUAUUUCUUUAUCGGCCUUAACCGCCGAUCUCACCAUAUUUUUCGUAUCGGCUUUAACAGCCAAUUUUACCACAUCAUCAUUACGGUCAUUUCAACCGCCUUCCUAACUUUUUUGUUAUUGGCCUAUUUGGCGGAAUCAUUUCAUAAUCGAUC
rnacentral:lncRNA from 1 species